rnacentral:misc_RNA from 1 species
GAAUUUCCAGAAGACCUUUUUGAAGCUGUCAUUGCCAGACUUCCUAUUGCUACAUUUUUCCGCUUUCGCACUGUGUGUCGAAAAUGGAAUGCUUUGCUGGACUCUCAGAGCUUUUCUCAGCAUUGUGCCCAAGUUCCACAAGCUAAUCCCUGGUUUUACACCAUAACUCAUGAAAAUGUGAAUUCUGGAGCCAUGUAUGAUCCUUCCUUGAAGAAAUGGCAUCACCCCACAAU